GCGAAGACGGGGAAAAUCCUCCCGAUUCACACGGUUACCAGCUAAAGCUUCCCCGGGAGGCCGGCGACUGAGACCCCAAAAGCUUCUGUUUGUAGCUACACGUACACGUACUUGCGGCCUGAUGAGUGAUGAGUGAUGACACCCAAGUUGAUCACGCUUGUGUUGGUGGAAGAGAGCGAAGGGAACAGCCCCUCGUCUUGGAUCUGACCGGCUCCUCGUGGAUUGACAAUGGGACUUCGCUGUAGCAAUUCACGCGGUAUAUACAUGAAUAAAUGAUGAACUUUCGGCGACCGCGGCGGUGCAGGUGUCGGGGCUUUUUUUGGCAACUAUGAUGUGUGUGGACGAUGUUAGGGUCGUGAUAAUGGUUGAUGUAGUCUGUUCGGGCUUUUUUGGAGUGUUCAUGGAUUUUUCACGAGUUGUUUGUUGUUGUGAAGUCGAGGACGCGGCGGCGGGGAUGAUGAUGGGCAUCAGAUGGUUUGUUGGGCGAUCUCCUGUGACGUUGGUCUUAUAUAGUUUUAGAGUUGUGUUGUUUUCGUCGUAAAGUGAUUGGGACGGACCUUCAUCUUACUCCACGUGCCAUUUAUGACGUGGAUUGAGUCGACGAUCGUCUAUUGUAAAAUCGAAGUCGUUUGUUAAUGAAG
rnacentral:lncRNA from 1 species